rnacentral:rRNA from 1 species
CAAUAGCGUAUAUUUAAGUUGUUGCAGUUAAAAAGCUCGUAGUUGGAUUUCGGUUAAGAGCGACCGGUCCGCCGUUUGGUGUGCACUGGUUGGUUUUAACUUCCUGUAGAGGACGUGCUCUGGGUUUAAUGACCUGGACUCGGAGUCUACGUGGUUACUUUGAAAAAAUUAGAGUGUUCAAAGCGGGCUUACGCUUGAAUAUUUCAGCAUGGAAUAACACUAUAGGACUCCUGUCCUAUUUCGUUGGUCUCGGGACGGGAGUAAUGAUUAAGAGGAACAGUUGGGGGCAUUCGUAUUUCAUUGUCAGAGGUGAAAUUCUUGGAUUUAUGAAAGACGAACUUCUGCGAAAGCAUUUGCCAAGGAUGUUUNCAUUAA